CCCAAAGCUAGGCUGGCUGACCCAACAAAGACUCAUACGGCUCGACAUACAUUUUAUUAUCGCUGUUCUGCAGAGAGAUGACAGCCGAGAAGCAGAGAAGCUAGAGGCCCGGCUGUGGAGGGACAACCGGGAGAUCCCUGCGGAGGGGCUGCGGCCAGCUCCCAGGAGGACAGAGCAGGCCUCCCUCUCAGGCCCGACACGCAGGGCUCCCCUGCCAGCUUCCCUCUCCAAGGCCCAGCCCUGGGGACAAGUCACAGACCACGUCAGGACCAAAGCAGGGAGCCGGUGACAGGAGCCAGCAGGCUGAUGGGAGGAGAGCUGGGGCAAGGCCCCACUCCUGGCUCAGAGGGGACACUACAGGGAAGGGGGAGGGGAGGCUAGUUAACACAGGCGGGUUCGGGUGACCGGUAGUGUUACUCUGGAUAGGGCGUUCCCAGCCCAGCCUCAGUCGAAUGAGAUGAGCUGGGCCUCGCUGCCUUGUGCCUGCGCUGGCGGCCCCUGCACCGGCGGCUGCGGGGCCACGGGGGGCUGCUGCUGGGGCGGGGCGCCAGAAGGCGCCAUCUGCGGGAGGAAAGCGGACACCGGUCAGCAUCCUGCUCCCCACGGUGCAGACCCGGGCUGUCUGAGAGCUCCCACGUCACUUGUUCCAUCCGUACGUGUGGACACGUGUUUGUGUCUAUGUCCUAGUUCUGUCUGCUGAGAAGGGAACUCGCCUGAGAGGCCCCACCGGAGUCAGCAGUCCACCCUAUCCCGUGGCGCCCAGGGCUGUCGGUCCGUGCAGGGCUCACCUGCUGGUACACGGUCUGCUGCCCCGCCAUGUAGGGCUGCUGGGCCGGCAGAGAUGCGUCCUGGCCAGGUAGGGUGGUCAUGAGAUUCUGCAGAGAGGAAGAAAGACUGAUCCCAAGAACCCUGUGGCGUCCAGGAGCGCCCCGGAGGGCCGGGUGAGCGGGCUCCUCACCUGCAUGCUGUAUGGCUGGUAGCCCAGGGACACCGACUGGCUGCCCACGUAGCCCAUGCUUCCGGACUGCGGAGGGAAAUGGUGACAUGGGCAGCGGGUGGGGCGAGGCGGGGCAGGAGGUGAGGGGGCCACCUACCUGGUAGCCGGGAGCCGGGGUGGGCUGGUAGGAUGAGUAGGCGGAGCUGGGGGCGGGCCCGGCCGGGGCCUGGGAGGCGGCCUGUGAGCCCGGGGCGCCUGCUGGGUACAUGUAGGCGCUCACCAUGCUGGGAUCUGCAACAAAGGAGAGCCUGUUCAGCCCCGGAGUGGGAGGCAGGAGAGGGUGUGUCUCUCUGAGGUUCUUUUUGGUACCAGGGCUUGCACUUUCGAGGCAAGCUGCGGAACCACUGAGCUAAAUCCCUGGCCCCUCUCUGAGGUUUUCUUUUUUGUGACUUGGAACCAAGUUCGUUCAUGUUUCACAUUCAAAAAGGAAAAUAACCCGGCACUCGGGAGGCAGAGGCAGGAUCGCCUAGAGUUCGAGGCCAGCCUGAACACAAAGUGAGACCUUGUCUUAGAAACAAACAAACCAAGGGCCGGGGAUUUAGCUCAGUGGUUCCGUCGCCUGCCUUGCAAAUGCAAGGACCCGAGUUCAAUCCCCGGUAUGAAAAAAAACACAAAAACAAACCAAAAAGGAAAAUAAAACUGGCAAGAAUGGGAAGUGGAUUGUAGGCGGAAUGGAAUCAGAACAGAGGAACGAAACUGUUGAAAUGACUGAUGGUCACUGAAGGGGCUAGGGGCAGCUGACUGGAGACUCCCUGAGCCACACGUGGACUCCUGACCUUAGGCUAAACAGGCUACAGACCCGCGUCACACACUGGCGGGGGCACUGUCCCAGUGACUUGGCUCAACAUUCCUCAAGGAAAAUUCUGCUUAGGCUAAAAAUGAGUACAUAGGUCCAUGCACUGAGGAUGGCACAGGGAGAAACCGGAGCCAUGGGAACGGGAGGCACUGCACCGCCAGCUCAGCUUUACCUUCUGUGAAGGUGUUCACACACACACACACACACACACACACACACACACACGCUGAGCUCUCCUGCUGACAGCACCUGGAGGCCCCGAGCACAGCCAGAACUCGGGCCCUGGGUGUGACAGACACUAGGACAAGCCCAGCAGGGACCCAGCUGACUCACAGAGGACAGACGGCCCAAGGUCAAGAAGCUGCCUGUAGCUCCCGAGUCACAGCAGGGAUCACAUGAAAAUCCCCUACAUCACCAGCCAGGCACUGUCCUUUGAGUAAAGAGCCCACGAGCCCACAAACAACAUAAACAACAAAAGCAAAAAAGGAAAAGCCUCUUCUUCCGGGGGAAGACAAUGGCAAAAUCAGAAAGGCACUGUUUAGCAAAGACAAUAAAGGAAUAGCAGGGCAUGGUGGUACGUGCUUGUAGUCCCAUCUAGUCAGGAGGCUGACGCAAGAGGAUCUCUUGAGCCCCACAGUUCAAGGUCAGCUUGGCCAACACAGGGACACCUUGUCUCAAAAAAACCAACAAUACUCAGGCAGAAUUUGGCAAGCUAAGAGCAAUUCACUUUUGAAUUCUCCCUACUUAUCCAGAGUAGCUUUCUGUCAUCUCUCUCUUCCUCCUUCCCCAUCUUCAAAUAAACGGUUCUCUUUUAUUAAAAAAAAAAAAUUAGCAAGAAAAUGUUACAGCUAGAUGAAAAGUGAGGUGAAAGUUUGAAAAGAACCAAGGUGUCAGCAGAGCCUCAGCCACUCCCAAAGGGUACCCAGAGCUGACAGGGACAGGCCCAGGCCGCAACUUCAGGGCAGGAGCCCACCAGCCCACCAGCCUCGUGACAGGAUGAAACAGUGAUGGAACAGCCCCAGGAUGUCGGCGGGUAGGAGCAGCCUGUGCCCGGCCACUAAGGGAAAGUGUCCUGCCAUAAAGGGCAGAGGUGAUGUGGCCCCUCAGGCCCUCCUGCUCCAGGGGCACCAGCUCCGGGACAGGCAUUCUGGGCCACAGGGCAGUCCCUGGCCGAACUGCAAAGGAGUUCAGGAGAAAGGGAGUGCACAUGUGAGCGAAUGCCUGUGCACGUGGGCAGUAUGGAGCCAGCAAGUGUGAGAAAAUGUCAUCUUUAGGGGAUCUGGAAAAUGUUUCUUUUGGUUUUCUGAGACAGGGUCACAUUAUGUACUUCAGGCUGGCCUUGAACUCACUAUGUAGCCUAGUCUACCUCAAAUUGGCAGAGAUCCUCCUGCCUCAGCCUCCCAAGUGCUGGGUUGACAGGUGUGCACCACCAUACCUGGCACUUGUGUCAUUUUGUAAUCCUGACAAUUAGACUAAAAUGAAAUCAGAAGGAUAAAGCGGUGGUCUGAGGUCAUCUGAGCUGGUCCCAGCCCCUGCCCUGAGGUUACCUGCUGCGGUGCCAGCCAUGCUGGGGUAGGGGCCAGCGGCUGGGGCUGGCUGGCUCAUGUACACACUGUGCAUAGGCGAGCCCUCCACUGAGCCUGCUGGACUGAAGGUGCCGGGGAAGCUGGCCGGGCCUGAAGGCUGGUAGAGCACGGCCCCAGCCGCAGGCAUGGCCUGGAGCUGAGGAGAGAAGACAGCAGGUGAGUGGACGCAGGGACACACACCUGUGGUCCUGGUGGCUCCACCAGGGGACAGCAACAAGGCCAACUGGUGCAACUGAAAUUCAGGGGACCCUGUCCCCAGAACAAAGCACAAAGGGGUUGCCAGGUGAGGUGGUGCACACCUGUACUCCCAGCACUCAGGAGGCUGGCGCCAGGCUAAACUGCACAGCAAGACCUUGCCUCAAACAAACAAAAGGGCAGGGGUGGCUUGGGAUGCAGCUGUGGCAGCGCACUCAGUGGUUUCAAGAGUACUGCCACAGAAUAGACAAGAGGUAGCAGUGGGAGGGUAGGGAGGGCAGCACGUGCCUGGGCGUAGGGCAGAGGGAAGGCAGGCAUCUGGGCGCGCAUCUGGACAGUCUGCUUCUGCUGCUCCAGGCGCAUCUGCCUCUCCUUCUCCUGCUCCUGCAGGCGCUGGAUGGCCAGCUGCCUCUGCACCUCCAGGUACUCCUGCGGCAGACGAGGAGUAGUCAGGUGGCCCGCAUGACCUGCACAGACAGGGUUAGUGUGCCGGGCUGGGGCCGCACCUGCUUCUUCUGCCGCAUGAUCUCCAGCUUCUGAGCCAGCUGGAUCUGGCGCUGGCGCUCGGCCUCCUCAGCUGCCCGGCGCAGCUUCUCCCGGUGCUCCUCACGCAGGGCGCUCAGUGCCCCCGGGCAUCCCGGAUCUGUGCCAACUUGUCCUGCAGUCCCUCGUAGUACACUGUGGGAAGAGAGCAGGGCGGCCUUGGCCACUCCAGUACAAGCAGGUGGGGUGGCGGGGCUGGGCCUGUGUGGUCAGCUGCCCCUAGCCAUCAGUGAGGCUCAGCCCUCUCCCCAGGGCUUCCUGGCCCUAGGGUGGGUUGGGGGGCAGGCACACCUGUGCUUGGCACCUGGGACCACAGCCCACGGAGACCCUCUGGAGGCACCUGUGGCCUCAGCAAGGGCAGGCAAGGCGACCCAGGUCCCUGGGGACAGAUCCCCAAGGUGCUCAUGGAGCCCCCAUCUGCAGCACCCGGGGCCCCAUGCACGCACGCCUGCGCUCGUCCAGCUGGUUGAGCAGCUCGAGCAGCUGCGGGUGCAUGCUGUUGAUGGACUGGAAGAGGGAGAGCACAGCGGAGUCGUUGGUGAUGCUGCGGCCCCGCAUGUGGUUGCUCUUCAUGCGGUUGACAAAGGUGGUGACAGCAUUCUGCAGGGCCUUCAGGAACUGCUCGUGGCUUUCCUCCGACUCCCCGUUCUGGUAC
rnacentral:lncRNA from 1 species